rnacentral:rRNA from 1 species
CCUACGGGUGGCAGCAGUGGGGAAUCUUUCACAAUGGGCGAGAGCCUGAACCAGCCAAGUCGCGUGAAGGAUGAAGGAUCUAUGGUUUGUAAACUUCUUUUAUAUCGGAAUAAAGUAAGGCACGUGUUCCUUUUUGUAUGUCCCAUAUGAUUCAGCCUCGGCUAACUCCGUGCCAGCAGCCGCGGUAAUACGGAGGAUGCGAGAGUUAUCCGGAUUUAUGGGGUUUAAAGGUUGCGUAGGUGGUUAAUUAAGUCAUCGGUGAACGUUGUUGGCUAAACAAUAAGAUUGCCGUUGAAACUGGUUGACUUGAGUAUAUUUGAGGUAGGCGGAAUGCGUGGUGUAGCAGUGAAAUGCAUAGAUAUCACGCAGAACACCGAUAGCGAAGGCAGGUUACUAAGCUAUAACUGACACUGAAGCACGAAAGCGUGGGGAUCAAACAGGAUUAGAUACCCCAGUAGUC